CUAGCGACUUCAGAGUUUGAUCCUGGCUCAGGAUGAACGCUAGCUACAGGCUUAACACAUGCAAGUCGAGGGCAGCAUGAAUUUACUUCGGUAAAUUUGAUGGCGACCGGCGCACGGGUGCGUAACGCGUAUCCAACCUUCCCGUUACUCCGGGAUAGCCUUCCGAAAGGGAGAUUAAUACCGGAUGGUGUUCAAGUGGUGCAUAUUAUUUGAACUAAAGAUUUAUCGGUAACGGAUGGGGAUGCGUACCAUUAGAUAGUAGGCGGGGUAACGGCCCACCUAGUCUACGAUGGUUAGGGGUUCUGAGAGGAAGGUCCCCCACACUGGAACUGAGACACGGUCCAG
rnacentral:rRNA from 1 species